UGGGGAAUUUUGGACAAUGGGCGAAAGCCUGAUCCAGCCAUGCCGCGUGAGUGAAGAAGGCCUUCGGGUUGUAAAGCUCUUUUAGUCGGAAAGAAAGAGUUGCAAUGAAUAAUUGUGAUUUAUGACGGUACCGACAGAAAAAGCACCGGCUAACUACGUGCCAGCAGCCGCGGUAAUACGUAGGGUGCGAGCGUUAAUCGGAAUUACUGGGCGUAAAGGGUGCGCAGGCGGUCUUGCAAGUCAGAUGUGAAAGCCUCGGGCUUAACCUGGGAAUUGCGUUUGAAACUACAAGGCUAGAGUGCAGCGGAGGGGAGUGGAAUUCCAUGUGUAGCAGUGAAAUGCGUAGAGAUGUGGAAGAACACCGAUGGCGAAGGCAGCUCCCUGGGUUGACACUGACGCUCAUGCACGAAAGCGUGGGGAGCAAACA
rnacentral:rRNA from 1 species